rnacentral:rRNA from 1 species
AUCAGCCCAUUAAGUUAUGUGUGUUUUAGUGGAACGCUCUGGGAAGUGCGAACGUAGAGGGUGAUAUUCCCGUACACGAAAGGGCACACAUAAUGAUGACGAGUAGGGCGAGGCACGUGAAACCUUGUCUGAAUAUGGGGGGACCAUCCUCCAAGGCUAAAUACUCCUGACUGACCGAUAGUGAACCAGUACCGUGAGGGAAAGGCGAAAAGAACCCCUGUGAGGGGAGUGAAAUAGAUCCUGAAACCGCAUGCAUACAAGCAGUGGGAGCACCUUCGUGGUGUGACUGCGUACCUUUUGUAUAAUGGGUCAGCGACUUAUAUUCAGUAGCAAGGUUAACCGUAUAGGGGAGCCGUAGAGAAAUCGAGUCUUAAUAGGGCGUUUAGUUGCUGGGUAUAGACCCGAAACCAGGCGAUCUAUCCAUGAGCAGGUUGAAGGUUGGGUAACACUAACUGGAGGACCGAACCCACUGUCGUUGAAAAGCCAGGGGAUGACUUGUGGAUAGGGGUGAAAGGCUAAUCAAGCCUGGUGAUAGCUGGUUCUCCCCGAAAGCUAUUUAGGUAGCGCCUCGGACGAAUACCAUAGGGGGUAGAGCACUGUUUCGGCUAGGGGGUCAUCCCGACUUACCAAACCGAUGCAAACUCCGAAUACCUAUGAGUACUAUCCGGGAGACAGACUGCGGGUGCUAACGUCCGUAGUCAAGAGGAAAACAAUCCAGACCGCCAGCUAAGGCCCCAAAAUCAUAGUUAAGUGGGAAACGAUGUGGGAAGGCAUAGACAGCUAGGAGGUUGGCUUAGAAGCAGCCACCCUUUAAAGAAAGCGUAAUAGCUCACUAGUCGAGUCGGCCUGCGCGGAAGAUGUAACGGGGCUAAAA